GAGCUCAAUCAUCGUAGGUUGCAUCCUGCUGGCACUACUCUGUGUCGCAUCGGCACAGCUAGACAGCCGUGUCACCUACCGGCAAGCAAUCUGUGAAAGGUCUUCCGGCAACAUUUGCUGCCCCGGCGACACCCGGAUCCGAAUUUUGUCCGCGGCGUACGGCCGGCAGCCGGGUUCGGUCGGUCUCUGUCCUGGAGCCAACACAGAUACAAAUUACUGCGUUCGGUUCAACAAAGUCUCCAGUUACGUCUCCUACUGCAGUGGCCAGGAGUGCUGCACCAUCCAUGCUACUAACGAUGGCCUUGGCGGUGAUCCCUGCUACGGCACGCAAAAGUACGCCAUCGUCACCUGGACCUGCAGUUAGAGAGGAACUACAGACUGGCAGUUUUCUUCUAAGAAGACUAGAGCGACUAUCUCACUAUAUGCAGUACUAAUUUGCACACACAAAAACUGUGGCGAUACAGUUGUAUGAUUUUCUUUAUAUUACAGUCGUUUAUAGUUCAAUUGUAUCACUAACCCUAUAUUUUGUCACUUCGUUCGAAGUAAACAAACACUCGGGAUUUCACUGGGGGAGCACUAUUGGUGCAAGCAUUCAAAAAUAUCAAUAAUCAACUAAAUUAAAUCUUUCGGAUUUGUCUUGUACUAAAGUUAUCAUUUUUUGACAAAUGUACUCGUUGUGAAAAGGCGAUGCCUUACAUUUAGAGAGAGAGAUGGGAUAGACAGUUAUGCUUUCUUAAUUUUCACGUGGCAGACUCUGUGCAAAUGUAUUAUUUCCUCACUAGCUUUUAUUUUUAGCAAGAUAACUAGAGCAUAUACCAUAUUCUAUAUGCUUCAAUUCGCUUUGAGUCGCCGGGUAUUCUUACAAUGCCGGGUAUGAAUUACAAUCGCAUUUCAAUUAAAUAUUACUUUUUUAGCAUGC